AGAGUUAGGUUUUAGGCCAUAUGCUGAGUGGGUCAACUGUUGGUGUCAUUUGACAUUGUAGCUAAAUAUCACAGAUAAACCUCUGAUCUUUGUAAGAAUAAGAAAUUUUAUACUUGGGUAUUGUGAAUAUUUAGUGCACAGAUCAGCGCCCAAUUUUGCAAAUUUAUCAAAAUGAAUGUUGGUAACACUUUAUUUGAUGCCUAUCUCUAUAACACAUUAUAAAUAUAUGUAUAAUGUGUUAUAAUCAGGUUAUAGCACUGUAUACCUAUAGUUAUAAACACUCAGAAAUGAUCAUAAUGCUUUAUAGCUAUAAUCAUAUAUUAUAAAGCAUUUUAUCAUGACUUACAAGGUCAGUUAUUAUAAAGUGGUAUAACUGUUAACAACAGUUGCAUUAUCUAUGUGGGCAUUGUCAGUGAGUUGUUAACGGUUAUAACACAUUAUUAUACCUGACCUUGUAAGUCAUGGUAAAAUGCUUUAUGAGUGUUUAUAACUAUAGUUAUACAGUGCUAUAAUGUGAUUAUAACGCAUUAUACAUGUAUUCAUAAUGCCUUAUAGAGAUAGGCGUCAAGUAAAGUGUUACCUUAAUGUUGAACACUUUUAAUAAUCUGUCAAUUUUUAAUACUCCAGUCUCUUUUUUCACUAAAAAAACAGUAGAUUAUCAGCAUGAUUUUCUACACUAAGCUCAUUUUCGAUAGGCUCAAUAUACGUCCUGGAUUAAGGUUUCAUAUUGUUUGGUUUGUGAUUUAUUACUUUCCUUUCUAUAAAGCUGUUUAACAUGCCAUAUCACACUGAAAGUACACAGACUUAAUCAAACAUAACUUUGGAGGUCCAGUAAGUCUUCGGAUCUGUUAGCUCUGACUGAGUAAUCUGACUGGAUAAGAGGUUCUCAAUGUAUUGUACACUGACCUAAUAAAAAGUAGCAAGACUGCAUGCAGGAGGCAUCAGUUCAGUUUCAGUCAAGCUGUUGAACUAGUUGAGUUGGUACAAUCAUGGAUGUAAAAUCUGCCUUUGCUUUCACAGCUGUUAAAAAACAAUAAGACACAGAGGAGAGUGUUGCUAUACUGAACAUAAACACGCUGCAUCAUUCACAUGUACCGUUUUCUUCUUCCUGAUGCUAUUUAUUUAUUUAUUUAUUCAUUAUUUUACUCACGUCUUUUAUCAUCCAUUAUUCAUUUUAAAGGUCCUAUCUCGGUAUUGUUUUACCUCACCUUGCUGCUUUACUCCAUUUUGCUGUUUCUUCUCUUCUAAUUUUAAAUCAUCUUACACCCCUGCUCCUUAAGGUCUAAUUUCAGAGUGUUAGGUUAUUGUGUUGCUUGGGCUCCUAGGGGCCCUGAUAAGCUCUGGUUUAUUAUGUUGUUUGUGUUUGGUCCUUAAUGUUUGUGUUCUUAUAGGCCUGCCUAUGAAUACAAAUUUCCAUAUACUGUCUGCUAUCAUUUUGUCCACAGGCUGCCCCUAAAACAAAUCUCAUCAUGCUUCUUGUAUCAAAUGUAUGAGUCACAGUGAAAAUUUGCUGUGUUGGUGUGAAUCAUAUUUUCGGACACCCAUCACUGUUCACUUCAAACCUUUUUAUAAACACUUUAAUGUCAACACAGGGACUUUAAGAAGAGACUGCAGGUGCACUGCAAAUUCAUAAAGGUGGAAUAUCUUUAUACUUCUUCACCACUGAUCUGAUUAGAGACAUUAUUCGCAUCAGAAUUCAGAAAAAAAUUGUGUAUGACAUGUUUGGAAAAUAUAGCAGAGCAAUCAAACUUACAUACAUCUAACAGCUUUUUAGACAGAUUGAUUUACUUAGUUCAUUCAAAUUCUAUUCAGCUCUACCAACAUGGUUGACAAGGUAAACAGAGGCCUGUUAGAGUUAAUGAUCUGUCUAUACAGCUUAGUAACCAUACAGUCACAGCACAUAGGGGACAUGUAGGCACACCUUAGGGAUGUGGGGAAUAUUAUGUAUGGCCUGCAGUAGCUUUUACACCUGGUUGUUGUUCACAAUUAUUAGAAAAGCAUAACGAAUUCGAUGAAAAAUGGUCUGGAUAUGUGUUGUGUAGUGUUAGUCUUUUCAUUUGCAUGGUAGUAUUUAUGCGGUUUUGGGGAUUUAAUUUAAAUCAGUGAAUAAAUCAGUAUUUGUGAAUGGUUGUUGUCAAAGGAUUUGAAUUUAGGGUUUCAUUUUUUCCAUAAGCUUUUAAAAUGAUGGAAAAAACAAACGACAUUGAAGAUUUUCAGACACGUGCAACAGCUUGCUUAAAUUUUGGUUGGGUUAAGUUUUAUUGCCUCACUCUUUUACAGUAGAGAUUUCCCACAUUCUGCUCGUACUUGCUGCAUGGUUCGGAGCAUCUCUGACGCAGCAGUGCAUGCUCUAACAUGUUCAAAACCUGCAUGUACGCUGGUAUGUCACUUCUGAAAAACCCCAGUGGAAAACUUGGCACCAAGCACUCACUCACUUAGUCACCAUGCAGGAGGGGGGAAAAAAGGGAAAGAAAAAAAACACAACAACCUCGAAGCCCGUCAGCAGGAAUGCUGCUGUAAGCUUGUGUGUGUGUGUGAGCAUGCUGAGCAUGUGUACGUGUGUGUGUGUUUGUGCCCCUCCCUGCCAGAGUUACUUUCCAUGCAACCCAGGAAGGAGAGGAACAGAAACAAGUAGAGCGAGGUAACCACAACACACACACAUUCACACACACACACACACACACACACACACACACACACACACACACACACACACACACACACACACACACCUGGGAACAAACACAUAUGACACUACCAGCUAUGUACUCUCCUCACCCUUGUGCCAGAUAACAGGCAGCAUCUCUGUGAGAAAAAGUCUGAAGGACGUGGAGGGAAUAUGAAGACGAUGGGGAGAACUUUUACAAACACCCCGUAAACAAGCUCAGAAUAUGUGUCCACAACUGUCCGGCGUUGUCAGGUUUACAGUUUGGUUAGUUAUUUAUAAGUAGCCGCGGUUAUUAAUAACUGAACAUGAGAGGCCUGUUUGGCUUCUGUCAAUCUGUGAGACUGUCUGCCUGAUGCUGGAACAGAAGGAUGGUUUUAAAUUUCCUUAUCACAGGGAGAAGUAUUCACCAAUUAUUUUGGCUCAUCAUUCAAACAAAAAAAUCAAUGAAGUCCAAUAAAAAACUUGUUGAAAAAUAAACUUUUUAAAUCAACGUUAGUUUAUCUUGGUCAAGACAUUACACUAAGGAUGGGGAAAAAAUUUCCGUCCUCUGGCAGUAAGAAGCAAUAAAACUAUGAUUUGAUGUUUCUUGAAGCAGAAGAAGGAAAAGUAUCAAGGAAAAUUUGGUUGCUGCUGCAGUAGAUGUUUUUAUUUUCUCGUUAUUAGUGAUUUAUGCUUUAUUUUUACCUUUUAAUGUCUUGAAAUCAAAUGUAUUUCUGUAUUUGUCACAAAUAAAGGUAUGGUGAGAUCAUAUGAGUUUGACAGAUAUGUACAGAUACUUGUACCUAAGCUCAGGCUUAAAUUCUUGUAUUAAACCAUAUGUGGUUUAUGUUGCCGAUAAUGAUGAUCAGAGAGUGGACAGAGUCGGAAACUGGGAAGAGAAAGUGGGAAAUAACAUGUGGUGAAGAGUGAUGGGUUUGAAUCAAACUAAUCUGAUCUGCUUUAAGAACAAUAGCCUCUGUAUAUGGACACACAGUUUCACUGCAAAGCUACACCUUAUUAUUUUGAAAGAAAAUUGACCUGUCUUUAGAUUUUCACAUGUAUUCUGGAGUACGCUAUAACACCUAAUGCGAGUUUUAAUUAAUAUUUAGUUUCAAUAACUUUUACAGAGUUUCACCCACUGAUUUUUAACACUCUGUACUUCCUGUUACUUUAAUUUAGCCAUUUUUAAUCUAUUCUGGUCAGAGUUGAACUGCACAGCUUUACAAAUGAAGCUAUGUGUGAUUCAACUGCACAUGAUGUUCAAAGAAACAAACGAUUCUACAAACUUUUUAUUGACGGCAGUUCGAAGAGGGCUUUAAAAUACCUACACUUCCUGAAAACACUCACUGAUAAAGUGA